GACGAACGCUGGCGGCGCGCCUAACACAUGCAAGUCGAACGAGCGAGAGAGAGCUUGCUUUCUCGAGCGAGUGGCGAACGGGUGAGUAACGCGUGAGGAACCUGCCUCAAAGAGGGGGACAACAGUUGGAAACGACUGCUAAUACCGCAUAAGCCCACGGGUCGGCAUCGACCAGAGGGAAAAGGAGUAAUCCGCUUUGAGAUGGCCUCGCGUCCGAUUAGCUAGUUGGUGAGGUAAUGGCCCACCAAGGCAACGAUCGGUAGCCGGACUGAGAGGUUGAACGGCCACAUUGGGACUGAGACACGGCCCAGACUCCUACGGGAGGCAGCAGUGGGGAAUAUUGCACAAUGGGGGAAACCCUGAUGCAGCGACGCCGCGUGGAGGAAGAAGGUCUUCGGAUUGUAAACUCCUGUUGUUGAGGAAGAUAAUGACGGUACUCAACAAGGAAGUGACGGCUAACUACGUGCCAGCAGCCGCGGUAAAACGUAGGUCACAAGCGUUGUCCGGAAUUACCGGGUGUAAAGGGAGCGCAGGCGGGAAGACAAGUUGGAAGUGAAAUCUAUGGGCUCAACCCAUAAACUGCUUUCAAAACUGUUUUUCUUGAGUAGUGCAGAGGUAGGCGGAAUUCCCGGUGUAGCGGUGGAAUGCGUAGAUAUCGGGAGGAACACCAGUGGCGAAGGCGGCCUACUGGGCACCAACUGACGCUGAGGCUCGAAAGUGUGGGUAGCAAACAGGAUUAGAUACCCUGGUAGUCCACACCGUAAACGAUGAUUACUAGGUGUUGGAGGAUUGACCCCUUCAGUGCCGCAGUUAACACAAUAAGUAAUCCACCUGGGGAGUACGACCGCAAGGUUGAAACUCAAAGGAAUUGACGGGGGCCCGCACAAGCAGUGGAGUAUGUGGUUUAAUUCGACGCAACGCGAAGAACCUUACCAAGUCUUGACAUCCUGCGACGCACAUAGAAAUAUGUGUUUCCUUCGGGACGCAGAGACAGGUGGUGCAUGGUUGUCGUCAGCUCGUGUCGUGAGAUGUUGGGUUAAGUCCCGCAACGAGCGCAACCCUUACUGUCAGUUACUACGCAAGAGGACUCUGGCAGGACUGCCGUUGACAAAACGGAGGAAGGUGGGGAUGACGUCAAAUCAUCAUGCCCUUUAUGACUUGGGCUACACACGUACUACAAUGGCGUUAAACAAAGAGAAGCAAGACCGCGAGGUGGAGCAAAACUCAGAAACAACGCCCCAGUUCGGACUGCAGGCUGCAACUCGCCUGCACGAAGUCGGAAUUGCUAGUAAUCGUGGAUCAGCAUGCCACGGUGAAUACGUUCCCGGGCCU
rnacentral:rRNA from 1 species